UCCCUGGUGGCUUAGAGGGUAAAGCGUCUGCCUGCAAUGCAGGAGAUCUGGGUCCAAUCCCUAAGUCGGGAA
rnacentral:tRNA from 1 species